rnacentral:rRNA from 1 species
AUUGAACGCUGGCGGCAUGCCUUACACAUGCAAGUCGAACGGUAACGGGCCUUCGGGUGCUGACGAGUGGCGAACGGGUGAGUAAUACAUCGGAACGUGCCCGAUCGUGGGGGAUAACGAGGCGAAAGCUUUGCUAAUACCGCAUACGAUCUACGGAUGAAAGCAGGGGACCGCAAGGCCUUGCGCGGACGGAGCGGCCGAUGGCAGAUUAGGUAGUUGGUGGGAUAAAAGCUUACCAAGCCGACGAUCUGUAGCUGGUCUGAGAGGAUGAUCAGCCACACUGGGACUGAGACACGGCCCAGACUCCUACGGGAGGCAGCAGUGGGGAAUUUUGGACAAUGGGCGCAAGCCUGAUCCAGCCAUGCCGCGUGCAGGAUGAAGGCCUUCGGGUUGUAAACUGCUUUUGUACGGAACGAAAAGCCUUCUUUUAAUACAGGAGGGUCAUGACGGUACCGUAAGAAUAAGCACCGGCUAACUACGUG